UACGUAGGGGGCAAGCGUUGUCCGGAAUCAUUGGGCGUAAAGCGCGCGUAGGCGGCCCGGUAAGUCCGCUCUGAAAGUCCAGGGCUCAACCCUGGAAAGCGGGUGGAUACUGCCGGGCUAGAAUCCGGAAGAGGCGAGUGGAAUUCCUGGUGUAGCGGUGGAAUGCGCAGAUAUCAGGAGGAACACCAAUAGCGAAGGCAGCUCGCUGGGACGGUAUUGACGCUGAGGCGACGAAAGCGUGGGGAGCAAACAGG
rnacentral:rRNA from 1 species